UUUACAGCAACUUAUUGGGUGAGGAACAUACUUUUGUGUAUGGAACAUUGUACCCAACAGCCUCUGCAAGUGCAUAGUUCUUUGCUGACAUUGGACUCUCAACGAUGGAAGCAGUCAAGGUGUGUAUUCAAACAAUGCCAGGAUUCUCAAAUACACUAAGGGAGGAUGCACCAAAGCUUUUCGCCAUGGAAGGUAUUAGAGGGUUUGUGGAAGGGUCUGGUCCCACGUAUCGUUAUGAUUGGUACCCUGACUGCUCUACAAUGGUUCAUCUAUGACUCGGUUAAGGUGUACUUCCGUCUGCCCCGCCCACCACCACCAGAGAGCCUCAAGCAGAAGUUAGCUGCCAAAU